UUUUUUUUUCUCUCUCAUAGUCAAUUUUCUGUACACAAUUUUAACAGUUGUCGUACACCAAAAACGCUGUAAAACGAUGCCGACUAAAGUAAAAUUCCCGCUUCCAACAACAUUAUGCGGUAUGCGGCGUAAAAUCCUCCGCCAGGUGACCAGCUAGGAAAAGAAAAGCGGGCAAGACGCUGCUGCUGCAGCUGCUGCGACGAGAUGAAAUGCAUUUCCGUGCCAUUAGGCGAACCACCAUAGAUCGGUUGCAGAUAAAUCUACCAUUACUCAAUGCCCACACCAACUGGAGGAACUGGCCUGGGAAGCUUAUGAGGCGACUGAAAACUGGGAUUCCGCGCGAUGAAAAAGUUUGCCGCUCCAGACGUUGACCCCUCGCUUCGUGAGGGGUGAAUUACCGCUCUACUGAUCCUUGAGGGAGCCAAGCAAGGUUAAUGCAGAGAGGAAGGCUGCAUACUGGUAGACGAGAAGUUUCUCGACUAUCAAGCGGAUUUUUCAACGAUUUGCUGGUGUAUCCGCACUGGCUCAAAGGCAGUGCUGUGCUCGGGCUGAGCAUUUACAAUCCGAUUUAUUUUUUAAAAAGAAACAAGAGGAUUGCGAAAAGCGAAAGUCUCAACACGUCCGACUCUGCUAUUUGAUGAAUCGACGGCUAACGGAGUGACUGAGGAGCUAUCCGAGAGUGUCAGCAAGCAGAAAUCGAAAGCGAAAGUGCACCGGACAGCGAACCGGUUGAAGAAGAGAGAGAAAAAAAGGGAAAAGCAGAAAGGAGAAAGAUCGCAAGGAUGUCUUGGCAAAUGGUUAAAUCUAGCGCGUGCAACUGCGCUUACUCGUGCCUGCGAAAAAAGCAUGACCCGCGUUCCUGCCCAUGAGCGCUGCGCAUCAUGCAGAA